rnacentral:rRNA from 1 species
GACGAACGCUGGCGGCGUGCCUAAUACAUGCAAGUAGAACGCUGAAGAGAGGAGCUUGCUCUUCUUGGAUGAGUUGCGAACGGGUGAGUAACGCGUAGGUAACCUGCCUUGUAGCGGGGGAUAACUAUUGGAAACGAUAGCUAAUACCGCAUAACAAUGGAUGACACAUGUCAUUUAUUUGAAAGGGGCAAUUGCUCCACUACAAGAUGGACCUGCGUUGUAUUAGCUAGUAGGUGAGGUAAUGGCUCACCUAGGCGACGAUACAUAGCCGACCUGAGAGGGGGAUCGGCCACACUGGGACUGAGACACGGCCCAGACUCCUACGGGAGGCAGCAGUAGGGAAUCUUCGGCAAUGGGGGCAACCCUGACCGAGCAACGCCGCGUGAGUGAAGAAGGGUUUCGGAUCGUAAAGUUCUGUUGUAAGUCAAGAACGGGUGUGAGAGUGGAAAGUUCACACUGUGACGGUAGCUUACCAGAAAGGGACGGCUAACUACGUG